rnacentral:lncRNA from 1 species
GAGUGAUCACAGUUUUUGAAAAUCCUGAUGAGGCAUUAAAGAGGAGGAGGAGUGUCCCAAGGGAGGUGAGCUGGAGGCAAAGCAAGUGACUACACCUCUGGAAAAGAGGAAGAACUGAUAAGACUGUCCUAGAAAUCAAGGGCUAAGAAAAGCAACUGUGUUGGGUGGUCAGCCCCAUCUGAGAGGCAGUGAUAACAAAUCUCCCCUCCAUGGAAGAUGUGUGAUGCUUAACCUUCUCUGAAGGACUGCAUUUGGAAACAUGUUCAUACAGUCUUUCUGGAGCUCAGUGAUACCAGUUCACCCAAGAAGACUCAGAAGUUAAACACAGAGGCAUGGCAGGUGAUUGUUAGGGAAUAUCCAGCCCUUCUCAACAGUGAGCUGACUCAGUGACUCCACCUCUGGAAAAGAGGAAGAACUGCUAAGAACUAUAAGAGACAGACAUCACACUACCUCAAAAAGGAUGACAUUACUGCUUUACUGUAGAGGAACCACACAACUUACAUAGAAGGUCCGCCCAGGCAGCUUCCAUAUUCUGUAGACUGAGAUGGAAAAGAGCCCACACACAUACCAUGGAGUCUGUCAGUAUCACUGGGCACCCAAUGGGAAAUAGUUCUGCCCUCCUUGCUCUUUUAUAGAAUAGAGAACUACGACUCAGGAAGAACUCUGGGAAGGUAUUGGACCAACUCUUUUGCCCACAAACAUGAUCCGAAAGCCAGAAUUUAAUAAGCUCCAGAGGAAGGAGAUUCUUGGGUUGCGUGGCACAGUAUCUUUGGAGGCAGGCUGCCUGGGCUUGUGUCCAAGGUCAGUCACUCACCAGCAGUAUGGCCUUGCAUAAUACUUCAACCCCGCCUUGCUUCUGUGUUUUCAUCUAUAAAGUAAGGGCAAUAAUAACAAUGGUUGUUGCAAAGAUUAAACAAACUAAAACGUGUAAACUACUUUGAACAGCAACAUGCACAUAGGAAAAGAGCCCAUGACUGUAGGUCAUCAAUUGUUAUUGUUACUAGUGCUUCUUUACCUCUGUUGAUUUUCGUUUCAAGAAGAUUUUCAUUUUUAACUUCUUUUUGCUGAAAUUUCAGGAUGUUUUCUCUUUUUAUCAGCUCAUAGGAAAUGGGGAUGAUGGAUCAUAGCAUCAUAGAGGGUGAGAAAGGGAAGGGACCCCAGGCUGUAUCAGUGCUGGCUUCCACGCCUUGUGAUUGAGCACGGGGUGGGGGCGGGGGGGGGGAAUGAUGGGCUCAGGUUCUCAAAUGGCAAAAGUAGGUUUUGAAUGCAUGUUCCAGUUUAGUGGGUUUCCUUUCCAUUGUAUAAUAACUCUUCACAGGCUGCAAUUCAACACUGUUUAAUUUCUCCAAGACAUACUCAGGUUUUCAAGAACAAGCCUGGCCAGUGACCCUGUGGGAAGAGCUGACCAGUGUUGAGAAUAAUAACAUUGUCAUUAUAAUCUUACAGCACCUCAUUAGUUUUCUUUUUCUUAACAGCACUUUCAUAUUGUUGACUUGCAUUUAUUUCGAAAAAGAAAGGAAGGGAAAUUUUAUCUCUGAACAGAAGGCAGGCUCUGGCUAUUAAUGUGUCCACUCCUCGGCAAACAGGAUCAGAGAAACUGCUUCAGGGACAAGGGGCAGGGAGGAAAGAGCAGGGUCCCUAAUGAGUGGGGUUUACUUAGGUCGAGAUGAGACAGUGGGAGACUAGGCUUUCUUCUUUAUACUGAAUACCUGCUAUGCGAUGGUAUGGAGCGAGCCUCCUACAAGAAUACAAAAGGACCCAGGACAAGAUUUGAGUUUUCAAGGAAUUUCUUUAGAAAAAGAUAGAAAGCAAGGGUGGAACUGUAGUGAAUCCUUUGGAGUCCUUCGAGGGCUCUGUGCUCCCACAGCAUCCUACGACACGAGACUUCAUAUUCUUCCAGUGGCAAGUGUGUGCUAUAAGGGGCUCAGCUUGGCUAGGAGAUUUUCCAGCUGACCAGAGGGGAGAGUAGCAUAGCAGGCAUGUGGACUGAAAAUACAUGGGUAAUAGGGCAACCAGGUGUCGGGGUGUGGUGGGAGGUGCUCAUGACCCGGGGUUGGGAGCUCUAUUCUCUUUGGGCUUUGCCCUCAGUUGGAUGUGGGCUGGAGAGAAAGUCAAUUUCGCCAUUCCUCAGUUUCUCCAUCUUCAAUGGAAGAGGAUGAACCCGGCAGUGAUUGAAGUUUCUCACUGUUCCAACACUCUGUGUGUUGAGGGGGCAGGUAGAGGUAGGGUUGUGAGGCUGAGAAAGAAAUCCUUCACGUGAAAAACAACAACAGUGAUGGUUUGGAUGCUGAGAAAUGGACAAGCUGUCAACUCAGAGGUUUUUUGUUUUUUUGUUUUUUUUAAUGGCUGCACCUGCAGCAUAUGGAAGGUCCCGGGCCAGGGAUCAAACCCCAAACCCCAGCAAUGCCAGAUCCUUUAACCUGCUGUGCUGGGCCAGGGGUCAAGCCCCAGCCUCGGCAGCAGCCCAGGCCUCUGCAGUUGGAUUCUUAACCCACUGCCCACACUGGGAACUCCUGGAGAUUUUUUAAGUUGAUUCUUAUUACAGAGGAGUGUUAUUGCCACCUCUCUGAUUUCAACUUGCAGUGCCAGUAAUAUUGGAUCCUUUGUGGUUCUUUGUGUCCUUAUUUAUACACAUGAUGCAUGAAACCAUUCUUCUCCUCUUAAGGCAGUUGAGGUAGUUAAUCUCCCAUCAAUCACUCAUGAUUAUAACAUGUGCUCUGCAGAUACUGUUGAAGUCUUUAUGCAUGAGGAGGACUUUGAUGUGAUAGAACUUCUGACAACUCAGACUCAGGCUGGUUUUUUUUUUUGUUUGUUUGUUUUUUUUGGUCUUGCCCCUGUGGAUGGAUGCUGACUUUCCUUCUCAAGAAAUAUUGCUGGAGUUCCAGUGGUGGCGCAGUGGUUGCGCAGUGGUUAACGAAUCUGACUGGGAACCAUGAGGUUGCAGGUUCAAUCCCUGGCCUUGCUCAGUGGGUUAACGAUCCGGCGUUGCCGUGAGCUGUGGUGUAGGUCGCAGACGCGGCUCGGAUCCUGCGCUGCUGUGGCUCUGGCGUAGGCCAGCGGCUAUAGCUGCGAUUCGACCCCUAGCCUGGGAACUUCCAUAUGCCGCAGGAGCGGCCCAAGAAAUGGCAAAAAGACAAAAAAAAAAAAAAAGAAAAAGAAAUAUUGCUCACUUCUGUCAGGUGACAAAUGAAGAUGGAAACCAACUCUGGGUCCUAUCUUGGGCCCCAUGAUCCUAGCUCACAAGAGUCCUGGAGGGAGAAUUGCUAAACCUCCCCUGCUUUCUCCACAUCCUUCAGGUUAUCUGGGGCUGGCGCCCUGGGGAUGAGGGAAAAGAAAGCCACUGAGGUUAACACAUUGUAUUUCAGCUUCCCUGUCUAUUGGGACAGCUUUGGGGAGGCGUGUUGGGCAUGUGGAGAUGAGGCUGCCGUUUCUCUCCUGGGGCUGCUGGGGUAGGGUAGAGUCAUCCUUGGGGCCAGUGAGAGAAAUGCUUCAUCCAAUUUGUAUGCCCUCCUUUUACAGUUGGGAAGACACACUCAUUGAUCCGUAGAAUGUGGUCACCGAAGGAGGCAGAAAAGGCAAAAGGCUCAAUGUCCCCUGCCCCGUAUUCCAUCUGUUAGUAAUCCAGUUCUGCCAUUUUCCUUUUCAUGUUCUAAAUUUGGACCUUUUCGGGAGAGCUUCCUCCCCAUUCAUGCUAAUUCAUGGAAUUCCAUCAGUUGGUUUUGAAAAGUGUAAGUCUGAACUAUUGCCAAAACAGCUUGCAGCAAGAGAAGAAGAAAACAACUAUUGCCUAUUUCUCCAAGCUACAGAAAGUCUGGUAUUAUUAUAUGUUAUAAACUGGACAUGAAAAUAUUAUUUCUAACAGAAAAGUCUCAGACGCUGAAUAUACUCUUCCUGCUCAUCUAAGGCCUUUGCUGAAACAGGACUUUCUCCUUGUAGCCUUUCUUGACCACCUGAUUUAAAAUUAUUACCUCCCAUAGUCCCCUGAUAACAUAUUUUCUCUCUCUGCAAGUCUUCUCAUGGCAAUUAUCACCAUCUAACACAUAUUUUACUUAUUUUAGUCUGUAUUUAUUUUCACUAAAAUAAACUCAUGAGCUUCCAUAUUCCCAGUAUGUCUAGAAAAGUACCUGGCACACAGUAGCUACAUAGUAAAUUAUUAUUGAAUAAAUAAAUGAAAGUUAUAUUCUUUGAAAGCAGCUUUAAUCUCCCCAAA